GAGAAAAUUUAAAAAUAGAAAGAAAGGAUCCAAACAUGACCCCUAAACCAUAAAAUGAAGUAUUGUUAGCACUCCCAAAGACACCAUAAAAAGCUUAAUUUUAUAUGAAUGUGAUCUUUAGGGACCCUGGAGUGGGAUGUACAAACCACGUCUAAACAGAGAAAGGGGGCUGGGGGAGAGGGAAGAAAGAGAGGAAGAGAAGAAGGAAGGAGGGAAGGAAGGAAGAAAGGGAGAAAAACAAAAAUCACCAAACAUCCCCAUUCCAUCUGCGGGCUGCCCCGCUCAAUGAUGGCCCCACCUUGUCCCCACAGUCAAAUUCCAGUGUCAUCAUGGCCCUCUCAGUCCGCCCCACACCCAGUGCCCCAGCCAGUGUCCACACGGUGUCCAGUAUCUGUGCACCCACAACGACCCGCUGCACCAGGAGGAAAACACAGCCCUCACCUUGGUUCCCACCUCCCGGCUCCCGUCCUUCCCUCCUCAACAAACUCUGAAUUUCCUGCCUUAAAGCCUUGAAGGGGGACAGUCCCACAGCUCUGAACAUUCUUUGCUCUCAACAUUCCCCAGUGACUGCUCCUCUGGUAAUGCUAAGCUCAAACAUCAGAAGUUCAGGAAGAACUGAUCUAGUGGACAUGGUUCACAGCACACAAAUGUACCCAGAAACUUCAACUCAAAAUAUUGUCCUUCACUCUCAGUCCAAGCUGGCGCCUCUGCUUCCCAGAAGACACUGGUGCUGGGGGGCGGGGUGACUCCAUAGUGCAUCCUCUUUGUCUUUUCCUUUUAGGUGAACAUCCAAUCAAGAUGAACAUGACCAUCAUAACGUGUCCCAAACAACAAAGAUUGUGACCUGGCAGCACAGGUCUGCCUGCUCCAGGCUGAGGUGCCUCCCCACCUGCCCUUGGAGUUGAACCAUCUGCUGUAGGCCGAUGCAAGACAGGCUAGGCAAGGAGCCUUCCCUCUGGGUCACCCAUCCCGGCUAAGACCACACAGCAUGCAAUAGAAGAGGAGACAGUGAUGCCAUGUGGACCUCCCCGUCACUCAGGAUUCAUAUCCUGGUCGUGCAGAAUAAUCAUAUCUCAGACAGGGGAGCAUCUCCCCAGUGACAGACCCUCACUGCUCAGCAACAAAAUCCAACUGGUUUAUUAGAAUGCAACACUCUG